UGGGGUGUAGCACAGUGGUAGAGCACAUGCCUAGCAUGUGCCAGGGUCUGUGUUUGAGGCACAGCACUGCAA
rnacentral:tRNA from 1 species